rnacentral:tRNA from 1 species
GUUGGGCUCAUAACCCAAAGGUCGCUGGUUCAAAUCCAGCCCCCGCAA